CUUGAGGUGUUGGCCCCACUAGCUGAAGUGGGGGCCUCGUCCCCUCAGGUGUCUGUCCCACCAGCUGAGGAUGGGGAGCUCAUGGACCUGCUUGAGAAACUCGGAAUCGGCAUGGCGGAACAAAUGGAGGAGUUUUU